rnacentral:ncRNA from 1 species
AAUUGAAAAAUGCCUCAUAUAUACUUGAGAAUAAGGCUCAGGAAGUUUCUACCCGGCACCGUAAAUGACCGGACUAUGAGGGAGGAU